ensembl:lncRNA
UUUUUUUUUUUUUCUUUUUAGCCCUGCAUCCACAGCAUACAGAAGUUCCCAGGCUGGGGUUUGAAUCAGAGUUACAACUGCUGGCCUACACCACAGCCAAGCAAUGCCAGAUCUGAGCUGUAUCUGCAGCCUAUACUACAGUUCACACAAUAGGAUCCUUAACCCACUGAGCCAGGCAAGGAAUCAAACCCUCAUCCUCAUGAAUACUAGUCGGGUUCCUUACCUCCAAGCCAUGACAGGAACUCCAAGAAUGUUUUGUUUUCAUUGAGACUAUUAAGCUAUCAUCUUUGGGAAAGCAGUAAUAUUUACAUUUUAAAUGAGCAGUAGGUGUCAAGACACUAUUAGAUAUAAAUCUAUUCAAACCAACCCUAAAAUGAGGCCCCUUAUAUAACAACACAGCACAAUUAGAAUGAAACGGUCAUCUCGAUACUGCUCUACUAAUGAUAAUUGCCUCUACGAAAUGACUAUAUUCAUUUAAUUAAAAAGCCCAUUAUGGAUCUCAUUCAAAAUGCUGUUCGCUGAACUCUUCAGAAUAAAUCUAAUUUGUUUUAGUGAAGUGUUUAGAAGUGUCAUUUUUAUUUGUUUUCAAAGAUGGUAAAACAACAGGACUUGGAAAAUACAAUGAGCCAUUCACCAAAAGAAGUCACAGUGAAUGGCUUUUAUAAGUUCAGAAAGCCUUAAAAUCAAAAGAGAAACCAUGUCAUCAUAAUACGCUAAGAAAAAGGCAAAAGAGGUGUUUUGCGUGAUAUAGCACAGAACAAAUAGCACAAUGAUAUAAAAUGUAGAGCUUUCCUCUACUUCCUACUUGCUGAGCAUAUUUAUAAAAUUGUAUUUUAACUAAUCUAAUUACAUAUAUUUGAGAAAGAGUACAAUAAUAUCUAUUAGUAAUUUGCUCAAAUUAAUAUGCUACAUAAUUUUAUAUAUAAUCACAUUUUAUUUAAUUCAUAUGAAAUCUGGAGAAAAGGCUUUCCAUACCCAAAGAAGUAUACAAAAGUCUUUAUCUAAAAAAACUUAGAAUCAAAAAUUGAUGAGAAAUUAAUUGAUAAUAAAAUAUAUUGUACUAGAACAAAUUAUUUUAGCAGAAAAAAAAAAAGAGAAACCAAUCAAAAAGUGAGCAGAAGACCUAAAUAGACAUUUCUCCAAAGGAGAUAUAUGUAUGGCCAGCAGGCACAAAAAAAUUUUUUUUGUUCAACAUCACUAAUUUUUAGAGAAACAGAAUUCAAAACCACAGUGAGGUACCACCCCACACCUGUAAGAAUGGACAUCAUUAACAAAUCAACAAAUAACAAAUACUAGAGAGGGUGUGGAGAAAAGGGAAUCCUCCUUCACUGUGGGUGGGAAUGCAAAUUGGUACAACCACUCUAGAAAACAGUACAGAAGUUCCUCAGAAAACUAAAUAUAGGACCACAUGAUCCAGAAAUCCCACUCCUUGGCACAUAUCCAGACAAAACAUUCAUUCUAAAAGUUACAUGCACUCCUAUGUUCACUGCAGCACCAUUCGCAGUAGCCAAGAUAUGGAAACAAUCUAAAUGUCUACCAACAGAUGAAUGGAUUAAGAAGAUGUGGUAUAUAUACACAAUGGAAUACUACUCAGCCAUAAAAAUGAACAAAGUAAUGCCAUUUGCAGGAAGAUUGGUGAAACUAGAGAUUCUCUUUUUUUUUUUGCCUUUUCUAGGGCCGCUCCUGCAGCAUAUGGAGGUUCCCAGGCUAGGGGUCUAAUCGGAGCUGUAGCCGCCAGCCUACACCACAGCCAUAGCACUGCCAGAUCUGAGCCACGUCUGCGACCUACACCAUAGCUCAUGGCAAUGCUGGAUCCUUAAUGCACUGAGCAAGGAUUGGGCAGUGCCAUGAGCUGUGGUGUAGGUCACAGAUGCAGCUCAGAUCUUACAUUGCUAUGGCUCUGGUGUAGGCUGGCAGCUGUAGCUCUGAUUUGACCCCUAGCCUUGGAAUUUCCAUAUACCACAUGUGCAGCCCUAAAAAGCAAAAAGCAAAAAAAAAAAAAAAAAAAAAAAAAAAAAAAAAAAACGAAAAAAUAUGAGGUCCUACUGCACUGCACAGAGAACUGUAUCUAGUCUCCUGACGUAGAACAUGAUGAAAGAUAGUAUAAGGAAAAGAAUGUAUAUAUUUGUAUGACUGGGUCAGUAUGCUGCACAGCAGAAAUUGACACAACAUUGUAAAUCAACUAUACUCUAAUAAAAAAAAGAGUCUUAUCUAAUGUCAUAUUCCAAAAUUAAUUUUAAGUAGAAUAACAUUUAAAUGUAAAAAAACGUAAACAGACAUCAGAACCAAAAAAUAUUUCAAUUGAUUUUUGGAAAACAAAGAUGAUAAAGGAAUCGUAAAUGAAUUUGUAGAGUGGAAGACAUGCGAUUCUGAGAGUUUAUAGUGUGCAUUCUGAUAAGAUAUAUGUUGAUAUAUUCCACCCAUCUUUAGAUACAGUCCUGCCUGAAUGACAGUGGACAGUGGGAGGCUGGUGCUAAAAUUAUGUUUGGAAGGCCUAGUUCUUCUGAUUACAGGAAGCAGGGGGCAUUCUGAAGAUUAAUAGAGGGUUGCGGAGGGUUGGAGCGGAGGACACUGGCCCAGUCAAGCAUUGGGUUGAAACAUGGGGUAAGUGAAUUUGAUAUGCUGAAUUCAGAGUCUUCUCCCAAUUUACUCCCUGAAGACUGGUUGAGGACUGGAAGAUUUUUGAAUAAAGUACUAUCCAUAGAAAACAAACAUGCAAAACCAUUGAAAGAAUAAAAUUUGGUGGAAGAAGGGGUUGACCCCAUCAAAAAAAAGUCAUAACCUGCUUUCUUUCUGAUUUCCAAAGAGUAAAGCCACCAAGAAACAAUUGUCCCCAUAUAUCUUCCAAUAAGUUCUUCAGUGCUUUGAUUCUCCUCAAAGGAAAAAUAAAAAUGGAUAAAUGGAUAAAUUGAAAAUAAGAGAGAAUGGAGUUCCCAUCAUGGGUUAUCGGUAAGAAAUCUGACUAGUAUCCAUGAGGAUGUGGGUUCAAUCCCUGGCCUCGUUCAGUGGGUUAAGGAUCUGGCUUUGCCAUGAGCUCUGGUGUAGGUCUCAGAAGCAGCUCAGAUCUAGUGUUGCCAUGGCUAUGGCAUAGGCUGGUAGUUAUAGCUCCAAUUAGACCCCUAGCCUGGUAACUUCCAUAUGCGUGGGAAGCGGCCCUAGAAAAGGCAAAAAAAAAAAAAAAAAAAAAAAAAAAAAAAAAAAAAAAAAAAAAAAUUUAUAAAGAGACCAUGUAUUCCAGUUUGGCCUGGUCAGUCCUUUUAAAACUGUUUUUCCGUGUAUUUAUUGGUAAUGCCACUUUGAAGUUUAAGAAUGUCCUGAUUCAGACUGUAAGAUUGUACUACUAGGCAAUUAGAAUUUUAAAAAAGAAAAUUAAAAAAAAAUUAAAAAGAUGAGAAAAUGUUUCAGUAGAUGCUGGUAAAAAUGAGAGCACUGAUGUUAAAUAAUGAAUUGUAAACAUCUUCACAGUGAGAAAAAAACAUAAAGGCCAUAUGAAAAUGAUUCGGCAUCUGAAUGCCAAUUUUUAUCUUUUCCCUCCUGUAUUUCUGCUGUUACCUCUCAACUUUCUUUAUCAGCUUAUGGUCAUUUCUGUCAGGUUUCAUUUCCUUAAACUCAGUUCUAGGCCAUUUCAUGUUCUCAUUGUGUACUUUAAUCUUAGGUGAUUUGAUUUGUACACAAAACUUCAAAUCCAUUAAUAAUAUGUCAAUGACUUCUGAAUUUGUAUAUUGGGGACAUACUUUUCAUCUGAGCUUUAUGGGUCAAAAUAUAUCCAAAUGCCCAUUUAACAUUUGUACUAAAAACCCCUCAGUGUCUUAAUCUGACAUUAUAAUUCCCUAUCCUUUCAUCACCUCCACCUCCAACCUGGCCCCCUCCUCCAGGAAUCAUUUUCCCUGGAUGCUACCACAAAGGACCAAUUAGGCAUCAGAGGGUAGAAUUCUUGGGGUCAUCUUGACCCUUCCCCCUCCAAAACUCUUAUUGAAUUUAUUACUAAGGUUUAUCAAUUUUUUCCCUAAAUAGUCCUUGAAUCUCUCUCAAUCUCUGCAUUGUCACUUCUGCAUUGCUCUCCACUGAACUCCAGGAAGAAGCUCCUAGCUGUUCUUCCGCAAGGCUUUUUUUUCACUUUCCCUCCAAUUCAUUCUGCACUGUAUAAACCCAGUGAUCUUUCUUCAGGACAAGUGUGAUCACAUAAAUUACUCGCUUAAAAAUCAUGAAGGUAUUCCAAUUGCUCUUAAAACUAUGAAAAAAAAUUUUAUAAGGCCUUAAUUCAUCUAUCUUCUCUGUACAUGUUUGUCUCUUCAAUUCCCUGUUCUGUCAUCAUAAUGGCCUAGCCAAAAUAACCUCCCUUUUAUUUCUCUAACCAAGUAGUUCUCAAAGUAUGUUCUCCAGACCAGCAACAGCAGCAUCACCUAAGAACUUGUUAGAAAUGCAAUUUGAGUAAAUCCUUGGACCCUACCUCUGGUCUACUGCAUCGUAAACUCUUGGAUGGGACUCAGAAAUAUGUUUUAACAACCUCUCCAGAUAAUUCCGAUGUACUCUAAAACUUGAGACCCACUAAACUUUUCCACAUACUAAUUUCUUCACUUGCAAUUGCUGCCCUUCUACCGUUUCCUUUACUUUUUACUUACUUUCCAUAUUUCAGCUCAAAUUUUAUUUCUUCUGGGAUGUCUUUCCUGACUCUUCUUCCUCUAUGCCUAGUUUAGAUUUUGUUGCUAUAAACUCUCACAACUUUCUUUUGGUGUUUUUUCUUCAAAGCAACUCUUACAAGUGUGUUAUUGUAUACUUAUGUGAUUAGUUGAAUACUAUCUACCUCCUUAACUAGACUUUGCAAAACAGGAGACCCUGGACCUGGUUAGACUGAUUCAUAAUUUAUCAAGAAUGGCAGCACAUUAAAGAGGUACAAUAAAUAGUACUAGUUUACUGUGAAUAUAUUAAAUAUAGAGAUGAAAUUGUGGUGAAAUAACAAGUUAAAGGAGGCCAAUUAGCACACGAUUGCUAAUGAUAAGUAUUCUCUGAUUAAAGUAAGACAAUAGAUUAUAUAUCUUUAUAUGAAAAUUUCUGAAUCAAAGUUUCUGCUGGCCAUUCUAACCAGUACCAUUUACAAGUAUAAAAGAGAUUCAAAUACACGAAUUGCUAAUAAUGACUUGAUGAAAGAAAAAAAAAUGUUAGUUAUACAGAGCAUGAUUAUAUGAAGCUCACUUGUCAACUAGUACCAUUGUUAAGCUUUUUUUCCCUCUUAAUUUCUCUUUCUUUUAGAGCAUAAGAAGUUUUAUCAAUCUGCGUUUGUCUUGUACUUCUUUUAUAUAAAAUUUUUUGUAAUGUUCAACAAAAAUCAAAUAAUAAAAGAGACUGAACAGUUAAGUGCUUUGUUUUUGGGAGCAAGAAUGUAUUGAAAGAAGCUUGAACUAAAUUCUUGAAACCCUAGUUCCUUAAAUUCUGAAUUUUCUUGCUUGGUUACUAAGUAACAUGGGAACUUCAUGGAAGAUCAUGCUUUCAACACCAAUUUAGCUGGGUCUUUCCUACCUGUGAUUGUUGAGAGAUAUAGAAGUUAAGGUCAUCUGGUCAUAGGCACGUGCUUAAGCAGAAAGAUGAUUUCAAAUCUGAACUGUGGCAAAUAUCUGGAUUGACUGAUAAGGCAGCCAUUGUUCAUCUGCACGCCUCUGCAGCAAAAGUAAAAACUUCUAUUUUAAUAAGUUAUGUAUUUGGGUCACUGAUUUUAAGAAAGAAAGGAACAGCUUAUAAAAAUGACCUAUAAAAUUGAAAAGUUAGGGCUUAAUUGGAAGAAAAAAAAUGUUUUUAAACAUAAUGGACCUUGCUCUCGCUUUGCCAAGGAAUGUUGUGAAAUUGCAUCCUUUUGCCUUUUCUUUAAGCCUACUAAAAUAAUAUUAUUUAGAUCCACCCAUGAUGAUUUGUGUGAAAAUAACAAUUGCUUUGUUCUCUCCCUAAUGUCCUUUUCAAUGAAAAAGAUCAUUCUAAUUUGGUUUAGUAACAGAUGUAUGGUAAAAGACUCUGUGGCAUUAAAAUCUACAGGGCAUUUUCUGGAAGAAAUGUCAGGAGCCUGACUAUCAAGGGUCUUCAUUCCAUAACCCACAUUCUUCUUCUCCUUCAUUGUUAUUUGACCUUUUGCAUUUCUGAUACCAUCCCGACUCUCCUUUUCUAAGUCUAUGUCUCAUUAGCCACUUAGAGUCUGGACUGUGAAAUAAAAGAUCUU